AGUGAACGCUGGCGGUAGGCCUAACACAUGCAAGUCGAACGGCAGCACAGUAAGAGCUUGCUCUUACGGGUGGCGAGUGGCGGACGGGUGAGGAAUACAUCGGAAUCUACUUUUUCGUGGGGGAUAACGUAGGGAAACUUACGCUAAUACCGCAUACGACCUACGGGUGAAAGCAGGGGAUCUUCGGACCUUGCGCGAUUGAAUGAGCCGAUGUCGGAUUAGCUAGUUGGCGGGGUAAAGGCCCACCAAGGCGACGAUCCGUAGCCGGUCUGAGAGGAUGAUCAGCCACACUGGAACUGAGACACGGUCCAGACUCCUACGGGAGGCAGCAGUGGGGAAUAUUGGACAAAGGGCGCAAGCCUGAUCCAGCCAUACCGCGUGGGUGAAGAAGGCCUUCUGGUUGUAAAGCCCUUUUGUUGGGAAAGAAAAGCAGCAGGUUAAUACCCCGCUGUUCUGACGUUACCCAAAGAAUAAGCACCGGCUAACUUCGUG
rnacentral:rRNA from 1 species